rnacentral:pre_miRNA from 1 species
AAAGAGUGUAGUUCUACUGUUUAUAUAUAAUAUUUGAUCUUCUGUCUUAUUUAAAACAAAUAUAAUUGUUAUUAUUAUUAUUAUUAUUAGAUGAUAAAACAUGAAUAGUAUAUUAUUUGUGACUUUUUUAAAAUUAUUUCAUAAAUUUUUAAAUAAGACGGACAGUCAAACGUUGAACACGAAAACUCAUGACUACACUUAAA